rnacentral:rRNA from 1 species
UACGUAGGGUGCGAGCGUUAAUCGGAAUUACUGGGCGUAAAGCGUGCGCAGGCGGUUUUGUAAGCCUGAUGUGAAAGCCCCGGGCUUAACCUGGGAAUGGCAUUUGGAACUGCAAGGCUCGAGUGCGGCAGAGGAGACUGGAAUUCCUGGUGUAGCAGUGAAAUGCGUAGAUAUCAGGAGGAAUACCGAUGGCGAAGGCAGGUCUCUGGGCUGACACUGACGCUCAUGCACGAAAGCGUGGGGAGCAAACAGG